rnacentral:rRNA from 1 species
CCCUUAGAUGUUCUGGGCUGCACGCGCGCUACACUGGUGCGUUCAGCGAGUUUAGCACCUUAACAGAUAUGUUUGGGUAAUCUUCUGAAAACGCACCGUGAUGGGGAUCGAUUAUUGUAAUUAUUAAUCGUCAACGAGGAAUUCCUAGUAAGUGUGAAUCAUCAGUUCGCGCUGAUUACGUCCCUGCCCUUUGUACACACCGCCCGCCGCUGCUACCGAUUGAGUGGUCCGGUGAAUUAUUCGGACCGGUGGACUGUGGGGAAACCCGCGGCCUGCUGGGAAGUCUUGUGAACCUUAUCACUUAGAGGAAGCAGAAGUCGUAACA